rnacentral:rRNA from 1 species
GUGGGGAAUUUUGGACAAUGGGCGCAAGCCUGAUCCAGCCAUUCCGCGUGCAGGAUGAAGGCCUUCGGGUUGUAAACUGCUUUUGUACGGAACGAAAAGCCUCUGGUUAAUACCCGGGGGUCAUGACGGUACCGUAAGAAUAAGCACCGGCUAACUACGUGCCAGCAGCCGCGGUAAUACGUAGGCUGCGAGCGUUAAUCGGAAUUACUGGGAGUAAAGCGUGCGCAGGCGGUGAUGUAAGACAGUUGUGAAAUCCCCGGGCUCAACCUGGGAACUGCAUCUGUGACUGCAUUGCUGGAGUGCGGCAGAGGGGGAUGGAAUUCCGCGUGUAGCAGUGAAAUGCGUAGAUAUGCGGAGGAACACCGAUGGCGAAGGCAAUCCCCUGGGCCUGCACUGACGCUCAUGCACGAAAGCGUGGGGAGCAAACAGGAUUAGAAACCCCAGUAGUCC